GAAACCCUGCAAGAGCUGGUCUCUGAGAAUUCUGUGAGGAGCCAGAAAUGGAAGCCAAAUGUUGGUGUCAGGUAGAGGAAGCUGGACCUGGUUUUGUCUGGGCUGUCAGUUUUUCCAGGGCAGGGGCCAUGACCCACCCUGAGGCCCGGAGGACCCUGUGCAGCAUCAGCCAACGUCCUGUUGAGUGAUGGCAGGGCCCAGGAAAUUUCCAGAGCGAAGGGGAGCCACAUCUUCUCCAUCGGGUCCUUUCAGAUCUUCCCUGAGACUUGGGAAAGGGGCAGUCUUUGCAUCUGGACUCUAUAUUUACACGUUUUCGAGGCCUACGGAAUUCUGCAGACUUAAGUUUGGAACACAAAAGCUCACUUCUGUAGUUUUAAGAUUAAAAAGUAAAACC
ensembl:sense_intronic Gm20485 predicted gene 20485